rnacentral:rRNA from 1 species
AUAAGCAUGCAAGUCGAACGGGAUUGUGGGGCUUCGGCCCUACAUGAGAGUGGCGAACGGGUGAGUAACACGUAGGUGAUCUACCCUUGGGUGGGGAAUAGCCCAUGGAAACAUGGAGUAAUACCGCAUAAGGUCUUGACCCUGCGGGGUCUUGAUGAAAGGAGCAAUUGUUCCGCCUGGGGAGGAGCCUGCGGUCCAUUAGCUUGUUGGUGUGGUAAGAGCGCACCAAGGCAACGAUGGAUAGCCGGCCUGAGAGGGUGAACGGUCACACUGGGACUGAGACACGGCCCAGACUCCUACGGGAGGCAGCAGCUAAGAAUCUUCCGCAAUGGGGGAAACCCUGACGGAGCGACGCCGCGUGGGCGAGGAAGGCCGCAAGGUUGUAAAGCCCUUUUCUCCACGAAGAAUAAGGCAAGGAGUGGAACGCCUUGCUGAUGACGUUAGUGGAGGAAGAAGCCCCGGCCAAUUACGUGCCAGCAGCCGCGGUAACACGUAUGGGGCGAGCGUUGUUCGGAAU